rnacentral:rRNA from 1 species
AUUGAACGCUGGCGGAAUGCUUUACACAUGCAAGUCGAACGGCAGCACGGACUUCGGUCUGGUGGCGAGUGGCGAACGGGUGAGUAAUGUAUCGGAACGUGCCCAGUCGUGGGGGAUAACGUAGUGAAGAUUACGCUAAUACCGCAUACGAUCUAUGGAUGAAAGCGGGGGAUCGCAAGACCUCGCGCGAUUGGAGCGGCCGAUAUCAGAUUUGGUAGUUGGUGGGGUAAAGGCCCACCAAGCCAACGAUCUGUAGCUGGUCUGAGAGGACGACCAGCCACACUUGAACUGAGACACGGUCCAGACUCCUACGGGAGGCAGCAGUGGGGAAUUUUGGACAAUGGGCGAAAGCCUGAUCCAGCCAUUCCGCGUGCAGGAUGAAGGCCCUCGGGUUGUAAACUGCUUUUGUACAGAACGAAAAGGUUUCUACUAAUACUAGGAGCUCAUGACGGUACUGUAAGAAUAAGCACCGGCUAACUACGUGCCAGCCGCCGCCGUAA